UACGAAGGGGGCUAGGGUUGCUCGGAAUUACUGGGCGUAAAGGGCGCGUAGGCGGACAGUUUAGUCAGAGGUGAAAGCCCAGGGCUCAACCUUGGAAUUGCCUUUGAUACUGGCUGUCUUGAGUUCGGUAGAGGUGAGUGGAACUGCGAGUGUAGAGGUGAAAUUCGUAGAUAUUCGCAAGAACACCAGUGGCGAAGGCGGCUCACUGGCCCGAUACUGACGCUGAGGUGCGAAAGCGUGGGGAGCAAACAGG
rnacentral:rRNA from 1 species